GUCAAUUCCCAUAGCUCAGUGGUAAAGCAUUUGCUUUGCAUGCAGAAGGUUCUAGGUUCAAUCCCUGGCUUCUCCA